GGGGCCGGGGCCGCGCCCGAGGGAGAAGGGGCGGCUUCCUUCGAGAGGCAGCGCUCUGCGGGGCGAGACGCGCCCUCAGCUAGGCCGGGCUUCAGUCAGCGACCUCGGCCUCGAGCGGCGGAGAGAAGUUUCCAGACGACUCCGGCCCGUUGCGGCCCGUUGGCGGAGGCGCGUUCGCGGGGCUCAGAAGUCACCCAGGCAAACGCGAUCUCCGCUGGCGGACCACGGAAGCGGGACGACGGACCUGGUCCCACCUCACCCCGGAACAAAUGGAAACAGUCGCUCGGGAUUGAGAGACCGGCCCGCAUGUUACUGGGGCGUGUCAGCCUUUGUGGCGGAUCCCGGAUUUCCUUCAAGAAAGGGGAAAGUGUUCAUCCUAAGAACCAUGGACAGGCCGUGAAUCUGUAAAUUGUUCCAUCCUUCAGUAUUCACCACAACUGUGACCAGGGGAAUCAAUACUGGCAGUAUACUGGUGCAGUGUAGCAAGUGCAUCAAGAUUCUGCGUGAUGACUUCCCCAUCAUGAUUAACUGUAACCUUAAAUGGUACUGUAGAAGAUGGCUGGAGAUGUUUGUUGAAUUUUCCAUUCAGUAUGUCCUUAAAAGUACAAAGAAGAACUGAUUUACUCUCCACCUUCAGAAAGUCCUGAUCAACUGAAAAAAGACUGCAUACUGCUCCUCCUUCCAUGGUCUUGCCGUGUAGAGGGAUGGGCAGCUGUCUAGACUUGGAGAGAUCUCAAUGACCCAGAAUCUAGAGUUCCUCGUUCCAACACAUACAAAUUGCUUAUCUUUCAGCAGAGCCAUUAGCAAUAAAAUCAUUUUCUAAUGUACGAUGUAAAAUCUGCAUAAAGUAAAUCCAAACACA